AACGCGAAGAACCUUACCAAGGCUUGACAUCUAGAGAACCUUCCGGAAACGGAGGGGUGCCCGCAAGGGAGCUCUAAGACAGGUGGUGCAUGGCUGUCGUCAGCUCGUGUCGUGAGAUGUUGGGUUAAGUCCCGCAACGAGCGCAACCCCCGUUGUUAGUUGCCAUCAGGUAAAGCUGGGCACUCUAGCGAGACUGCCGGUGACAAACCGGAGGAAGGUGGGGAUGACGUCAAGUCAUCAUGCCCUUUAUGCCUUGGGCUACACACGUGUUACAAUGGCUGGGACAAUGCGAUGCAAUCCCGCGAGGGGGAGCGAAUCGCCAAACCCAGUCUCAGUUCGGAUCGUAGGCUGCAACUCGCCUGCGUGAAGUCGGAAUCGCUAGUAAACGCCAAUCAGCACGUGGCGUUGAAUACGUUCCCGGGCCUUGUACACACCGCACUACUA
rnacentral:rRNA from 1 species